UGGUGGCUCAGUGGUAGAAUGCCUGCCUUCCAUGCAGGCGAUCAGGGUUCACUUCCCAGCCA
rnacentral:tRNA from 1 species